rnacentral:rRNA from 1 species
UACGGAGGGUGCGAGCGUUAAUCGGAAUUACUGGGCGUAAAGCGCACGCAGGCGGUUUGUUAAGCAAGAUGUGAAAGACCCCGGGCUCAACCUGGGAACUGCAUUUUGAACUGGCAGACUAGAGUCUUGGAGAGGGGGGUGGAAUUCCAGGUGUAGCGGUGAAAUGACGUAGAGAUCUGGAGGAACAUCAGUGGCGAAGCGGCCCCCUGGCCGCAAAAGCACUGACGCUCAUGUGGAAAGUGUAGGGGUAGCGGAACAGGA